UCAUGCAAGUUGUGCAGGGCGCACAGACGGUUCUGGAACCUGGAGGCUGGACCUGAAACCUCCGUGCACCUGUGUGUCAAUCGUGGGGACAGUGGGCCUGCACGUGAGCAGUGGCACAGAGGACACCCAGCGUGGUGGUUCUCCAACGAGCAGGAGAGCCCUCUGGAAACUCAAGCUCCGACAGCCACUCCUGCCACAGAAACUUCCCAGGUUGCUACAGAAUAUUGAGCAGAGAGGAUGGGCCACUUCAGUAAAUCCUCCACAUUCAAAGCAGUUUUUAGGGCCCACAGGCCAGACGAUGGCCUAGAGGCUGGGUGCGAAGGUCACUGAAACGCAGCCUCAGGCCUCCCAGCGCAGGAACGAGGUGGGAAGCAGACGUGCACUCGAACAGGAUGCCGUGCGGGUUGGCGAGGGCGUCGCGGGCAGCGGUGCACCUACCUGCAGAGUCAGAGCGGGCACCCCAAGAAGGCCAGCUGCGGGCUACAUCAGGACGGCUACGGGAGCCUUCGUCACCAGGAAGGGGGGCAUCGUCGGAGGAGAGGUCGGACGCACGUAGGCUGUACAUCACCUACUCAGGAAACCCAGCAUGUUUAGUACAUGUCAAAUACGCUCUUCAACUCAGAGAAAAAUCUCUCUCUAAGCCACUUGAAGGAGUUUUAAAAUCCUGUUCUGAAGAAUCUUUG